CUGCAGCCAAUCCUGCCGACUGUGCUCUUUUCCCCAUGGGGGCCUGGUGCACAAUGGCUGGAAACAGCAGCCUCCUCGGUAGUGUAUGCAGCCUGUUGGCCUGUAUAGGUUUCCCUAAGGCACCUUGGAGGCAGCC